rnacentral:rRNA from 1 species
CCUACGGUGGGCAGCAGUGAGGAAUAUUGGUCAAUGGGCGCGAGCCUGAACCAGCCAAGUCGCGUGAGGGAAGACGGCCCUACGGGUUGUAAACCUCUUUUGCCGGGGAGCAACGGGCGCCACGUGUGGCGCCACUGAUAGUACCCGGAGAAAAAGCAUCGGCUAACUCCGUGCCAGCAGCCGCGGUAAUACGGAGGAUGCGAGCGUUAUCCGGAUUUAUUGGGUUGAAAGGGUGCGUAGGCGGGUCGUUAUGUCAGUGGUAAAAUUGAGGGGCUCAACCCCUGCCCGCCAUUGAAACUGGCGCUCUUGAGUGGAAGAGAAGUAUGCGGAAUGCGUGGUGUAGCGGUGAAAUGCAUAGAUAUCACGCAGAACCCCGAUUGCGAAGGCAGCAUGCCGGCUUCCUACUGACGCUGAAGCACGAAAGCGUGGGGAUCGAACAGGAUUAGAUACCCUGGUAGUC